AAACAUUAUGUACAUUUGGUAGUAACUAGUUUUAUUUGAGCUUAAGUUAUCUAAAUUAUAACUGGUGUAUGUAAACUUAUUCAUUGGCUUUUGCUGUAUCUAUUUAUAACUUAUAAAGUGCAUAAAGGAUUUAUAAUCUGGAUGCUUGACAGCCGAUUGAUUAAUUUGGUACAAUAUCUAUAGAUGUACCCGUAUUUCCCUGGGAAAAAAAAAAAGAGAAUAAAUAGUGUAUUAGAUUUUAAAGUCAUCUUCUUGCUUUGGAUUUAUCACUUGUAUAGUCAACAGUGAUAUGUUGAGGUGAAAUGUCUUUUGUAUAGUUUAUAAUAUGACUGUUUUCUAUAAUCCUUUUCAAGUAUGGCCUUUGUUACAGGAUGGACUUUUUAUUUAUUUAAUAAAUGAUCCAUUACAUAUUUAAUUAUCGUGCACAUCCCCUUCUUUUGAUAUUUAAAAUGACAUCAUUUUCAUUGUAUGUUAUUGAUUAUUGUUUUAUAUCAGCUGAAACUUAUGUCUUUUAUUCAUGAUUUUAAGAUUAAAUUUAUAAUUAAGUCCUUUUAAUUUUUGAGUUCCAAGACUAAGUCUCCUGGUUCAUUGGUGCAUUUCCCCAAAUCCAGAGCAAGAACCAGCUGCAUAAAGUGUUGCCAAUUUUGUCUGCUGGCUUCUUUGUUGCUUUCCACCAACAUUCUUUAGCUGGUUGCUUUUCUGUGGAUUCAAAGACAGAUAUUUACUCUGCGGCCACAUUCAAGAUGAAGAUUGGAAAGCUUAUCCCCUCUUAUUGUCAGGGUGGUACAACCUCAUACGGGGUGAAGUUCUUCAAUUUUCUACCGAUGGAAUUGGCAACUCAGAAAUUCGAACCCAAGUGUGUACAUUCAUCAUCCAAGUCCAGGGGCUCGUGUAUCUGGCUGCUGUCUGUAAUGAUGAACGCGGACAUUGCUUCUUUGGUCUCAGUGGCUCUUGGUCGUUUCUACCAUGGUUUUAUACGUAUAUUUAUUUAUUCUUGAUUGAGUUGUUCAGUUGAGAAUGAUUAAAAUAUUACAUAGUUGCCGUAUGGCAUUCCUAUACAUACAAUCAAGGUAUAAUAGCCUAACAGGACAAUUGAUCAGUACAAUUUUUUUGGGUACUAGAGUCCCUAGAAUGUAGGGGCUAGGACCCAGAGGGGAAGAGGAGAGACUAGGAGAAUAGAAAACGAAUGUUUCAUUUUAGGGUGUUGACCCCUACUGCAAAGCAAGAACACUGAAAUUUUGAUCUUAUUUUUCUCAUCCAAGAAAGGACUUAAAAUUGCUGAAA